rnacentral:rRNA from 1 species
GUGAGGAAUAUUGGACAAUGGAUGGAAAUCUGAUCCAGCCAUGCCGCGUGCAGGAAGACGGCCCUAUGGGUUGUAAACUGCUUUUAUACGGGAGCAAUAAGGUCUAUGCAUAGAUUGAUGAGAGUACCGUAUGAAUAAGCAUCGGCUAACUCCGUGCCAGCAGCCGCGGUAAUACGGAGGAUGCGAGCGUUAUCCGGAUUUAUUGGGUUUAAAGUGUGCGUAGGCGGCUUUGUAAGUCAGCGGUGAAAUUUUGCAGCUUAACUGUAAAAGCGGCGUUGAUACUGUGAAGCUAGGAUUUGGUUGCUGUAGGCGGAAUGUGUGGUGUAGCGGUGAAAUGCAUAGAGAUCACACAGAAUAUCGAUUGCGAAGGCAGCUCACAAAGCCAAUAUUGACGCUGAGGCACGAAAGUGUGGGGAUCAAACAGGAUUAGAAACCCGGGUAGUCC